AACGAACGCUGGCGGCAGGCUUAACACAUGCAAGUCGAACGGGUGUAGCAAUACAUCAGUGGCAGACGGGUGAGUAACACGUGGGAACCUUCCUAGGGGUACGGAACAACUCAGGGAAACUUGAGCUAAUACCGUAUACGUCCGUGAGGAGAAAGAUUUAUCGACCUUAGACGGGCCCGCGUCGGAUUAGGUAGUUGGUGGGGUAACGGCCUACCAAGCCGACGAUCCGUAGCUGAUCUUAGAGGAUGAUGAGCCACACUGGGACUGAGCCACGGCCCGGAAUCCUACGGGAGGCAGCAGUGGGGAAUCUUGGACAAUGGGCGCAAGCCUGAACGAGCCAUGCCGCGUGAGUGAAGAAGGCCUUAGGGUUGUAAAGCUCUAUUACCAGGGACGAUAAUGACGGUACCUGGAGAAUAAGCCCCGGCAAACUUCGUGCCAGCAGCCGCGGUAACAC
rnacentral:rRNA from 1 species